NNNNNNNNNNNNNNNNNNNNNNNNNNNNNNCCCGGAGCUCUCCCUGCCCCAUUCCCGUCCCCUACCCCAUUCCCUGCGCCCCCUGCGCCCCCUGGCAGUGCCCGCGGUGCCGCACGAAGCUCUCCCUGGAUCCCAGGUAUCCCGAGUGUCCCCUAUCCCAUUCCCUGCCCCAUUCCCGUCCCCUAUCCCAUUCCCUGCCCCAUUCCCGUCCCCUAUCCCAUUCCCUGUGCCCCCUGCGCCCCCUGGCAGUGCCCGCGGUGCCGCACAAAGCUCUCCCUGCCCCAUUCCCGUCCCUACUCCAUUCCCUGUGCCCCCUGCCCCACCCCCGUGCCCUGGCAGUGCCCGCGGUGCCGCACGAAGCUGUCCCUGUAUCCCGGCUGUUUCCCUGCCCCAUUCCCGUCCCCUAUCCCGCCCCCUGCCCCACCCCCGUGCCCUGGCAGUGCCCGCGGUGCUGCACGAAGCUCUCCCUGUAUCCCGGCUGUUUCCCUGCCCCAUUCCCAUCCCCUACCCCAUUCCCUGCGCCCCCUGCGCCCCCUGGCAGUGCCCGCGGUGCCGCACGAAGCUGUCCCUGGAUCCCAGGUAUCCCGGCUGUCCCCCAUCCCAUUCCCUGCCCCAUUCCCGUCCCCUACCCCAUUCCCUGCGCCCCCUGCCCCACCCCCGUGCCCUGGCAGUGCCCGCGGUGCCGCACGAAGCUGUCCCUGGAUCCCAACUGUUUCCCUGCCCCAUUCCCGUCCCCUACCCCAUUCCCUGCGCCCCCUGCGCCCCCUGGCAGUGCCCGCGGUGCCGCACGAAGCUGUCCCUGUAUCCCGGCUGUUUCCCUGCCCCAUUCCCAUCCCUAUCCCAUUCCCUGCCCCAUUCCCGUCCCUACCCCAUUCCCUGUGCCCCCUGUGCCCCCUGGCAGUGCCCGCGGUGCCGCACGAAGCUGUCCCUCCACAUGAAGCGGCGCUGGCAGGCGGGGCAGGUGUAGGGCCGCAGCCCCGUGUGGGUCUUCAUGUGCUCGGUGAGGUGGUGCUUCAUCUUGAAGUGCUUGCGGCACUGGGGGCAGCCGAAGGGCCGCAGGUCCAGGUGCAUGUUGACGUGGCGCUCCCGCAUGGAGCGGUGGGAAAAGGCCUUCCCGCAGUGGCACAGGUACAGCUUGUGCCCGCCCGGAGCCGCCGCCGGA
rnacentral:lncRNA from 1 species